AACGAACGCUGGCGGCAGGCCUAACACAUGCAAGUCGAACGCCCUGGCAACAGGGAGUGGCAGACGGGUGAGUAACGCGUGGGAACGUGCCCUUCGGUUCGGAAUAACUCAGGGAAACUUGAGCUAAUACCGGAUACGUGCGAGAGCAGAAAGAUUUAUCGCCGAAGGAUCGGCCCGCGUCCGAUUAGCUAGUUGGUGAGGUAAUGGCUCACCAAGGCGACGAUCGGUAGCUGGUCUGAGAGGAUGAUCAGCCACACUGGGACUGAGACACGGCCCAGACUCCUACGGGAGGCAGCAGUGGGGAAUAUUGGACAAUGGGCGCAAGCCUGAUCCAGCCAUGCCGCGUGAGUGAUGAAGGCCCUAGGGUUGUAAAGCUCUUUCGCCAGGGACGAUAAUGACGGUACCUGGAUAAGAAGCCCCGGCUAACUUCGUGCCAGCAGCCGCGUGUA
rnacentral:rRNA from 1 species